GAUGAACGCUGGCGGCGUGCCUAAUACAUGCAAGUCGAGCGAACAGACGAGGAGCUUGCUCCUCUGACGUUAGCGGCGGACGGGUGAGUAACACGUGGAUAACCUACCUAUAAGACUGGGAUAACUUCGGGAAACCGGAGCUAAUACCGGAUAAUAUAUUGAACCGCAUGGUUCAAUAGUGAAAGACGGUUUUGCUGUCACUUAUAGAUGGAUCCGCGCCGCAUUAGCUAGUUGGUAAGGUAACGGCUUACCAAGGCAACGAUGCGUAGCCGACCUGAGAGGGUGAUCGGCCACACUGGAACUGAGACACGGUCCAGACUCCUACGGGAGGCAGCAGUAGGGAAUCUUCCGCAAUGGGCGAAAACCUGACGGAACAACGCCGCGUGAGUGAUGAAGGUCUUCGGAUCGUAAAACUCUGUUAUUAGGGAAGAACAAAUGUGUAAGUAACUAUGCACGUCUUGACGGUACCUAAUCAGAAAGCCACGGCUAACUACGUG
rnacentral:rRNA from 1 species